rnacentral:rRNA from 1 species
GACGAACGCUGGCGGCGUGCUUAACACAUGCAAGUCGAACGGAAAGGCCCUGCUUUUGUGGGGUGCUCGAGUGGCGAACGGGUGAGUAACACGUGAGUAACCUGCCCUUGACUUUGGGAUAACUUCAGGAAACUGGGGCUAAUACCGGAUAGGAGCUCCUGCUGCAUGGUGGGGGUUGGAAAUUUUCGGCGUUUGGGGAUGGACUCGCGGCUUAUCAGCUUGUUGGUGGGGUAGUGGCUUACCAAGGCUUUGACGGGUAGCCGGCCUGAGAGGGUGAACGGCCACAUUGGGACUGAGAUACGGCCCAGACUCCUACGGGAGGCAGCAGUGGGGAAUAUUGCACAAUGGGCGGAAGCCUGAUGCAGCAACGCCGCGUGCGGGAUGACGGCCUUCGGGUUGUAAACCGCUUUCGCCUGUGACGAAGCGUGAGUGACGGUAAUGGGUAAAGAAGCACCGGCUAACUACGUG